UCUUCCCAUUCUUUGAUGUGCAUGUUUCGUGUUCUUCAACCGAAACGAUAAUUCAUUCGAAGUGGUACCAAUUUUGGCCGCUAGACGGCAACCUCUCUGAAUUGAAAAGUAACUUCAAAGAUGGUUAUACCCGAGCUCCUCGGCUCCAACAAGUCAGUUUGGUACAGUACUGCUAAGUACGAACAGCGUGGUGUCGGUGGAUAUAGUUACUUCUAAACGAUUUUCUGUUGAUGACAUCACUCUUAUUUAAAGUCAGACAAUAACAAUAGUUUAUCGUGUGCACUAAAUCAUUGAAAUGCACUUAUAAAUUGGAUAAACUCCGUAUACUUGAGCGAUGCCAAGAAAAGCGUAUACGUAAGCAGGA